GGGAGGUAGUUGACAAUAAAUAACAAUACAGGGUUCUUUUGGAUCUUGUAAUUGGAAUGAGAACAAUUUAAAUCUCUUAACGAGGAACAAUUGGAGGGCAAGUCUGGUGCCAGCAGCCGCGGUAAUUCCAGCUCCAAUAGCGUAUAUUAAAGUUGUUGCAGUUAAAAAGCUCGUAGUUGAAUUUCGGGAUCAAGGGAUCGGUCAUGCCUUGGUAUGUACUGGUUUCAUUGGUUCUCACCUUCUAAAGAACCAUGAUGUCAUUCAUUUGAUGUUAUGGGAAAUUAGGACUGUUACCUUGAAAAAAUUAGAGUGUUUAAAGCAGGCUUUACGCUUGAAUACAUUAGCAUGGAAUAAUGAAAUAGGACAUCCGAUUCUAUUUUGUUGGUUUCUAGGAUCGAUGUAAUGAUUAAUAGGGAUAGUUGGG
rnacentral:rRNA from 1 species